CGGCCAGGACAUUCGCAGACCAGCCACCCCUUCCAGCCAUAAAGGUUGACGGAAUCGCCACUUGGAUCCACGCAUCCCACGCCAAGGCUGCUCCAGAGACGCCCGGACCACCUGAGACAUGGAGACUCCGUCACUCCAAGGACCCCCUCAAGAUAAGACUCUCUCGUACCUAACCCUUUGCUUACUACUAGCCCUCCUUCCUCGCGU